ACAAAACCAGUAAUCUUUACCCACUGAAAAGCUAUUUCAUCCUGUGUAUCUGCAUAGAGCAGACAGGAGACCACAGUGGGAUAGGUUAGAGCAUUAUUUUAUGUACCAAGGUCUGAACUACGUCAAGAUACACCCAACAGUACUUGAAAGGCACAGUGGUGAAACAUCAGUUUGAAAUCAGGAUGAAAUGCGAGGAGCUAAAUAGCUGUUUCCAGGUAAGUGAGGUCUUGCUAGUUCAUAAGCUCUCCUGUAAGUCACUCAGUGGCUGGGGCUGCAGUGCCAAAAACCUGACUUGCCUUUUAAGUUGUAACAGAAAUAACAUUGGUUCUGAAUAUAAAAUUUUCUGUCCCAUGUAUGUUGAAACUGUGCAUCAACGCACUUGAGGCAGAGAUUCAUAACUGUCACUGUCACAGUUUCACCUUCUGUGAGGCCAUACCUGGAGUACUAUGUUCAGGUUUGGGCCCCUCACUACCAGAAAGACAUUGAGGCCCUGGAGUGUGUUCAGAGAAGGGCAGUGGAGCUGUGGGGGGUCUGGAGCACAAGUCUUAUGGGGAGUGGCUGAGGGAACUGGGAUUGUUCCGUGUGCAGAAGAGGAGGCUCAGGGGAGACCUUAUUGCUCUCCACAACUACCUGAAAGGGGGUUGUGGUGAGGUGGGGGUUGCCUUCUUCUCGCAGGUAACAGUAAUAGAGUGAGAGGUAAUGGUCUCUGGUUCUGCCAGGGAGGUUCAGAUUGGAUAUUAGAAACAAUUUCUUCUCUGAAAGAGUGGUGAGGCCCUUGAACAGGCUGCCCUGGGAGAUGAUUGAGUCACCAUCCAUGAAAGUGUUCAAGAAAUGUUUAGAUGUGGUACUUAGGGACAUAGUUAGUGGGCAGUAUCAGUGAUAGGUGGACAGAUGGACUAGAUGAUCUUAAACGUCUUUUCCAACCUUAACGAUUCUAUGAUAAUGACUUUCAGUUCUUAUUUAGGUACUUGAGAAGGAACUUUAAUGAAAGUUUUUAACAAGGAUAAGGGAGAGAAAGAAUAAGGUUUGUUCUUGAUUUGCUUCUGCAUUUAUAGAGGACCCUCAUCCCCAGGGGUGAUGGAUUAGGGAUGAACCUGCGAGAAGACUGUGGGGUGGCAAUCAGGAACAUUUUUCCUGCUAAGUGCAGAUUGCUAGCAGGGAGAAAGAAAACAGGCUUUGGGCAGGAGCUGGUUUCAUGCUGGUGCUCUCAUAAGGUACUGCAGGCUGCUGUGUGUUCUGGUACAUCCACUGGGUCUGGGAAAAUACAAGAAAUGCAUCCUGGAAUUUUUAGCAGGUUUCCCUCCCCCCCCACUCCACUGCUACAGACACCAAUGGAGACGAGAUAAGGACACAGUUUAAGAGCUCUUCCGGAGAAGCAUCUGUAUAUGCAGUUGUACAGGAGAUACUGAAACAAAGAUAAGAACUUUAAGAAUGAUUUUUUUCCAUGCUACUUUCAACUUCUUGAGAAUGCUGUUGCUUUCAUACGUUAUGACAAAAUUUACUUACUGGAUUUUUAUACUGCUGAAUGCCAAAGCUAACAUUCUGAGUCAAAUUAGGUUAAUGAAAUUGAUCUGUUUUGUUAUUUACAGUCUUUUGACUUUUUCUUUUAAAAAGACCAAGUGACAGAUGGUUUGUACUGCUUCUUAUAUGACUGCAAUGGUGCAAACUGAAGCAAUAGCAAAAUCAGUGCUUAUAUAUUUCCAACUGGGAAUUAACUUCAUGAAAUGGGGCUCCUUCAGCAAUCUGGACUAAUUUCCAUGGAGGAAAACAAACAAACAAUCAAUAAAACAAACAAAUAAAUAAAAGGAGGUUUCACCUCCGAAAUGAUGUUGGUGUUUUGGCAGCUUCCCAGUGGAUGAGGUGUUGAAACAGGAUAACUGCUUUCCACACUUACAGUUUGUGCAAAACUGUUAAGAGCAAAUUCAAUCACAGAAAGAUCUGCAGCACCAGUACCUGAAAUUCAGCUUGGUGAACUUGUUCUCUGAACUUCUCGUUGAAGUUAUCGUAACUGUUUAAAUCUCAUUAACUAACUGAACUUGCUGUUUUUGCAAACUCCCACAUAUCAUCAUUGCUUCUGACACUUUCCUAAAAGUUUUCCAUAAUGAAAUUGUUGGUUUAAUGUACUUCAGUUCUCUCAAGUUCAAAUUUUGCAGAAAAUCUGAUAACAUCAAAAAUAUUUUGAACAGCUUUUCUGUGGCCUUAAAGCCAAGUAUUGUGUUCAUUUAGAAGAAGUUUUAAAUAAACAACAAAUUUAGGUCAGCUACAGAACAGCACAUGAUAUUGGGACACUGUGAAAGGGAAACAUACAGGGAACAGAAUCUCCUUGUGGUGAUGCUGUUACCAGGAAGAAAGGAACAUCUCAGCCUCAGAGGCUGAUUUGUAAAUUUCACAGUGCCAAGGAAAUAUAAACAGAUUAUUUAGUGUAGAUAGCACCUUCGCUACACAUAGAUCCCUGAUCUCACAGACCAAGAAGGCACCUGCAGCAUGUCACCUGAAAAGAGAGAAACAGACUUCAAGUUUUAUGCUUGCUUCGGGAAGUUCAUAUUGUUUAUUUUCUUUAUUUCUUCUAGUUAACAAGUUCUCCAGUACCUGAAGGGGGCCUACAGGAAAGCUGUGGAGGGACUUUUUACAAGGGCAUGUAGUGGUAGGAUGAAGAUUAAGAGAUGCAAACUGGAAGAGUGUUGAUUUAUACUAGAUAUAAGGAACAAGUUCUUUAUUGUGAGGGUGGUGAGACACUGGAACAGGUGGCCCAGUGAGGUUGGAUGUUCCCUCCCUGGGGACUUAGGCCAGGCUGAACGGGGCUUUGAGCAACCUGGUGUACUGGGAGGUGUCCCUGCCUAUAGCGGAGGGUUGGAACUAGAUGAUCUUAAAGGUCCCUUCCAACCCAAACCAUUCUAUGAUUCUGUGGUUCUAUGAUUCUUCUCCUUGCCUAGCAAGUGUCCAGCUCUCUGAGUUUAAGGCUGUUCGUGGAGAAUGGUGCUCUUCUAUGAGAGCAAGCUGGUAUGAGAGCUGACAUUGCAGGGAUCAAGAGAAAUCCUGUCUUCCUGACAGCCAAGGAGAGCUUCCAGCAUUCGUCAUGCUAAAUUGAAGCAUGUUUGAAUUCUGAAGGAUCUCAAAGGGUUUUUUAUAACUUAUCCCCAGAAUCUAUGUCCCCCAUAUGUUUAAGAAUGUUUUAAGAUUCCCCAGAAUGCAACACAAAAUGUGUUGGUGACAAGGCAGUUUUUCAAUUGCAGAUACAAAUAAUGGUGUUUGUGUCCUGUGGUGGUAUAGCCUAAUCCAGCAAGAAAUGAUGGUGUUUUUUGACUUUGGUUGAUGUCACUGCCCAGGUUGUUUUUUGAGAUUUAAGAUUUGUUCUUCUAGCAAAUCUAUUACCUUGCAGUAGUUUAUAUAAGCAAAGAUGGGCAUUGGGUGACCAUAUCCUGUAAAUAGAUAAGGAUUAUAAAAUGUAGAACUCUGUCUUCUCAGGAGCACCUGUAAUCUAAGAGCAAGAAUAAAGUCAUUUGGCAACAAAGGCAUUUGAGUUUCCCAGACACUGAAGUGAUCAAAGUCUCAAAAUUUACACUUAAAAUGAAUUUGCUCAAAAAAUUGAUGUAUUAGUAAAAUUUGCUAAAAUUAAUUUAAAAUAAUUCAAAAUAAGUUAUAGCAGCAAGAAGAACAAGACAGUCUAAUUGCUAGUUUUCUGUUCUUAGUUUGCUGUUCUUCCUUUAAGCCCUAUCUGUUUAUGUUGUUUUAAUUAGCAAAGUAUCCCUGCAAUACAACUUAUAUUAUUCUUUUCAUCUUUUUCAUCUAAGACUAUAAGCAUGCAGCUGCUGCUGACUUCUCCAGUCCUGCAUAACCCUGAGGAGCAUUCAAUGAAGAAGAAACUCCUGUGUUGGCAUGAAAUGAAGAUUAACCGUACGGGGGUGAAGUCCUGCAAAGAUUUCUUAAAAAAUUAGCAUCUACCGAAGUAAAUACUGUGCUGUCAGUAGUUAUGGUGUUAGGCUGAAUAGUGGAAAAUCCUCAGUUUGACUAGCCAUUCCUUACUAAGAACUUCCACGCCAUGUUUAACCAUCCAAAAUUUUGGGGUCUCAGUAUGAGCAGUUCUGUCUCAACACUCAAGAGACAAUGCUGGAUACCAGGUUCAAUUCUAUUUGG